UGCCUUACACAUGCAAGUCGAACGGCAGCACGGGCUUCGGUCUGGUGGCGAGUGGCGAACGGGUGAGUAAAGUAUCGGAACGUACCAUUGAGUGGGGGAUAACGUAGCGAAAGUUACGCUAAUACCGCAUAUACCCCGAGGGGGAAAGCAGGGGAUCGCAAGACCUUGUGCUCUUUGAGCGGCCGAUAUCAGAUUAGCUAGUUGGUGAGGUAAAGGCUCACCAAGGCGACGAUCUGUAGCGGGUCUGAGAGGAUGAUCCGCCACACUGGGACUGAGACACGGCCCAGACUCCUACGGGAGGCAGCAGUGGGGAAUUUUGGACAAUGGGGGCAACCCUGAUCCAGCCAUGCCGCGUGAGUGAAGAAGGCCUUCGGGUUGUAAAGCUC
rnacentral:rRNA from 1 species